CGGGUUAAAGCCAAGUAGGUUAGGCACCUCAUUUGGGAUGAGGCAUUGUUAUGUUCAAAUCAUAAUAACCCGA